UGGAUCCAGACUUUGAUCCUGGCUCAGGACGAACGCUGGCGGCGUGCCUAACACAUGCAAGUCGAACGGAGCUAUGCGCUGAACGGAAGCUGGCUUGCCAGAAGAAGUUCUUGUAUAGCUUAGUGGCGGACGGGUGAGUAACGCGUGAGCAACCUGCCUUUCAGAGGGGGGUAACGUUUGGAAACGAACGCUAAUACCGCAUGAGACCACAGAGCCGCAUGGCUCAGGGGUCAAAGGAGCAAUCCGCUGAAAGAUGGGCUCGCGUCCGAUUAGAUAGUUGGCGGGGUAGAGGCCCACCAAGUCGACGAUCGGUAGCCGGACUGAGGGGUUGAACGGCCACAUUGGGACUGAGACACGGCCCAGACUCCUACGGGAGGCAGCAGUGAGGGAUAUUGGUCAAUGGGGGAAACCCUGAACCAGCAACGCCGCGUGAGGGAAGACGGUCUUCGGAUUGUAAACCUUUGUCCUCUGUGAAGAUAAUGACGGUAGCAGAAGAGGAAGCUCCGGCUAACUACGUGCCAGCAGCCGCGGUAAUACGUAGGGAGCGAGCGUUGUCCGGAUUUACUGGGUGUAAAGGGUGCGUAGGCGGCUCGGCAAGUCAGAAGUGAAAUCCAUGGGCUUAACCCAUGAACUGCUUUUGAAACUGUCGAACUUGAGUGGAGCAGAGGCAGGCGGAAUUCCCGGUGUAGCGGUGAAAUGCGUAGAGAUCGGGAGGAACACCAGUGGCGAAGGCGGCCUGCUGGGCUCUAACUGACGCUGAAGCACGAAAGCGUGGGUAGCAAACAGGAUUAGAUACCCUGGUAGUCCAUGCCGUAAGCGAUGAUUACUAGGUGUGGGGGGACCGACCCCCUCCGUGCUGGAGUUAACACAAUAAGUAAUCCACCUGGGGAGUACGACCGCAAGGUUGCAACUCAAAUGAAUUGACGGA
rnacentral:rRNA from 1 species